rnacentral:rRNA from 1 species
UACGUAGGCAGCAAGCGUUGUUCGGAGUUACUGGGCGUAAAGGGUGUGUAGGCGGUUCUCUAAGUCUGGUGUGAAAUCUCCCGGCUCAACUGGGAGGGUGCGCCGGAAACUGGGGGGCUAGAGUGCGGGAUGGGAGAGUGGAAUUCCUGGUGUAGCGGUGAAAUGCGUAGAUAUCAGGAGGAACACCUGUGGUGUAGACGGCUCUCUGGACCGCAACUGACGCUGAGACACGAAAGCGUGGGUAGCAAACAGG